UACGGAGGGGGCUAGCGUUGUUCGGAAUUACUGGGCGUAAAGCGCACGUAGGCGGCUUUGUAAGUUAGAGGUGAAAGCCCGGAGCUCAACUCCGGAAUAGCCUUUAAGACUGCAUCGCUAGAACGUUGGAGAGGUAAGUGGAAUUCCGAGUGUAGAGGUGAAAUUCGUAGAUAUUCGGAAGAACACCAGUGGCGAAGGCGACUUACUGGACAACUGUUGACGCUGAGGCACGAAAGCUAGGGGAGCAAACAGG
rnacentral:rRNA from 1 species